CUGCCCUCCAGCCCGGCUGGGUGUUGGGCGCUGUCCCCCCGGGGACAUGCCCCAAAGGCAGUGGCGGCGCCGCGUCGGGUCCUCGAGCGUAUGGGGCUUUGUCACCCGCUCGGGACGGACUCGUCGGCGCUGGUCUUCCUCCAGGCGACCCCUCGGGGCUCGUCUUCCUUC
rnacentral:misc_RNA from 1 species